GAAAAAACCGAGAGGUUUCUCUUCCCCGGGUUGAGUCAGCAGCGCGCGGGGGAGGCGUGCGGCGCGGCCAGCCCAGCUCUUAGUGUGGAGCGCGGGGUCAGGACCCGGAACUUUGGGCGAGAGCAGGGCAAGCGGCUGGGGUUGGGUCUGAAGCGGGCGCGGGACCUAGUGCUGGGCUGUUAGGGGUGUGUUUGGGUCACUCCUUUGUCCUGCUCCCCAAGAUGGAGAGGAGGUAAACUACUCCUUUCUCAUCGGACCUGCCGAAGCCUUCGUUGAAUCGAGCGCCUCUGACUUGCUAGCAGGCCGGGGAGGGAGUUCAUGGACAGAGUUGGCUAAAAGGAGAGUUCGAGAUCUCCAGAAUCUAGGAAUGUCAGAAAUGUGGCUUGGGUCCUGAAGCCCCCGGAGGACAGUGGGUGAUCCUCCAAUACAACGCAUCCUCAUCUUUGAGAUCCCUUGAAAGUCCAAGACUUUGGUGCAAGGUGUAGGAGAGACAGUGGUAGAUGUUUACAGAUGACAAAACUGAAGUACAGAGAAGCCAAGUUACCUGUACCCUCUCUGUGGGUGAAGCCAGCUGCCACAUACUAGCAGCCCUAUGAAAAGCCUCACACCACAAGGAACUGAUGUCUCUGGGCAACAGCCAGCAAAGACUCCAGGCCUGGCUGACAGUUUGAUUGCACUUGUGAGAGCCUGAACCAGAAGAUCCAGCUGAGCUAAUGCACAGAAACUGCAGAAAAAAAUUGAGAUUUUGUCACUUGCAACAAAAAGUUCUAACAAAUUGUCUCCCGCUUCAAAUGAGAUUUCAUUUAUACUGGGCUCCCAGCAUGCCCUCCGCCAUUCUGCUUACUCUCAAGACUGAGCAUAAACAGAGUAGUUUGCCCAGAGGAACUUCGGUCUUCCCUUCUUUGCUCACCAUGAUCUGGUGUGAUCAUGUCAAUUCAGGUUGUCAAGUCAUUGUUUUCUUUAAAAAAAUUAUUAAUUAAUUAAUUAAUUCUUGGCUGUGUUGGGUC